rnacentral:rRNA from 1 species
GACGAACGCUGGCGGCGUGCCUAAUACAUGCAAGUAGAACGCUGAAGCUUGGUGCUUGCACCGAGCGGAUGAGUUGCGAACGGGUGAGUAACGCGUAGGUAACCUGCCUGGUAGCGGGGGAUAACUAUUGGAAACGAUAGCUAAUACCGCAUAAGAGUAGAUGUUGCAUGACAUUUGCUUAAAAGGUGCAAUUGCAUCACUACCAGAUGGACCUGCGUUGUAUUAGCUAGUUGGUGAGGUAACGGCUCACCAAGGCAACGAUACAUAGCCGACCUGAGAGGGUGAUCGGCCAAACUGGGACUGAGACACGGCCCAGACUCCUACGGGAGGCAGCAGUAGGGAAUCUUCGGCAAUGGAAGGAAGUCUGACCGAGCAACGCCGCGUGAGUGAAGAAGGUUUUCGGAUCGUAAAGCUCUGUUGUAAGAGAAGAACGAGUGUGAGAGUGGAAAGUUCACACUGUGACGGUAUCUUACCAGAAAGGGACGGCUAACUACGUG